UCUGGUUGAUCCUGCCUGAACUGAUGUGUUUAUUUCAAAGAUUAAGCCAUGCAUGUAUAAGUUUAAUCGUUUAUCGAGAAACCGCGAACGGCUCAUUACAAUGGCCAUUAUUUACUUGAUCUUGAUUGUCUAAAUGGAUAACUGUGGAAAAGCUAGAGCUAAUACAUGCACUAAAGCUUUGUCCUUACGGAAAAGCGAUUUAUUAGAACAAAACCACGCGGCUUCGGCUGCUUCUUGUUGACUCAGAAUAACUUAGCUGACCGCAUGGCCUUGUGCCGGCGGCGUGUCUUUCAAGCGUCCACUUUAUCAACUUGACGGGAGCAUAAUCGACUCCCGUGGUGGUGACGGAUAACGGAGGAUCAGGGUUCGACUCCGGAGAAGGGGCCUGAGAAAUGGCCACUACGUCUAAGGAUGGCAGCAGGCGCGCAAAUUACCCACUCUCGGCUCGAGGAGGUAGUGACGAGAAAUAACGAGACUGUUCUCUUUGAGGCCGGUCAUCGGAAUGGGUACAAUUUAAACCCUUUAACGAGUAUCAAGCAGAGGGCAAGUCUGGUGCCAGCAGCCGCGGUAAUUCCAGCUCUGCAAAUACAUAGAAUUAUUGCUGCGGUUAGAAAGCUCAUAGUUGGAUUCGUAUCGAUACCUUGGAACCCUUCGGGUGUCUCUAGGUGUUAUCGAUUUAUCGUAAUGUUCGGUUUUGAGUCCUUAACAGGAUUCUUAACAGGCAUUGCAAGUUUACUUUGAACAAAUCAGAGUGCUUCAAACAGGCGUUUUCGCUUGAAUGAUCGUGCAUGGAAUAAUAGAAAAUGAUUUCGGUUCAGUUUUAUUGGUUUUACGGACUGAGAUAAUGGUUAACAGAGACAAACGGGGGCAUUUGUAUGGUCCCGUGAGAGGUGAAAUUCUUGGACCGUGGCCAGACAAACUACAGCGAAAGCAUUUGCCAAGAAUGUUUUUAUUAAUCAAGAACGAAAGUCAGAGGUUCGAAGGCGAUCAGAUACCGCCCUAGUUCUGACCGUAAACGAUGCCAACUAGCGAUCCGCCGAUGGAAAUUAUAUUGCCUUGGUGGGGAGCUUCCCGGAAACGAAAGUCUUCCGGUUCCGGGGGAAGUAUGGUUGCAAAGCUGAAACUUAAAGGAAUUGACGGAAGGGCACCACCAGGAGUGGAGCCUGCGGCUUAAUUUGACUCAACACGGGGAAACUCACCCGGCCCGGACACUGUGAGGAUUGACAGAUUGAUAGCUUUUUCAUGAUUCAGUGGAUGGUGGUGCAUGGCCGUUCUUAGUUCGUGGAGUGAUUUGUCUGGUUUAUUCCGAUAACGAGCGAGACUCUAACCUACUAAAUAGUUGGUACAUACUCUUAGUGUAUACAGCUUCUUAGAGGGAUUUGCGGCGUUCAGCCGAAAGAAAUUGAGCAAUAACAGGUCUGUGAUGCCCUUAGAUGUCCGGGGCUGCACGCGCGCUACACUGGCAAAAUCAACGUGCUUGUCCUACCCUGAAAGGGGCGGGUAAACCAUUGAAAAUUUGCCGUGAUUGGUAUCGGAAAUUGCAAUUAUUUUCCGUGAACGAGGAAUUCCAAGUAAGUGCGAGUCAUCAGCUCGCGUUGAUUACGUCCCUGCCCUUUGUACACACCGCCCGUCGCUGCCCGGGACUGAGCCAUUUCGAGAAAUUUGGGGACCGUUGAUUUAAUUUUUCUAAAUUACUUUGAUGGAAACCAAUUUAAUCGCAGUGGCUUGAACCGGGCAAAAGUCGUAACAAGGUAGCUGUAGGUGAACCUGCUGCUG
rnacentral:rRNA from 1 species